GGCGCUUUGGCUGAGUGGUUAUAGCGAUAGACUAGAAAUCUAUUCUCUUCGGAGGCGCAGGUUCGAAUCCUGCAGGCGUCG